AUGUCAAGCAAAAAGGCAAAGACCAAGGCCACCAAGAAGCACCCUCAGCACGCAACAGCCAAUGUAUUUGCCAUGAUUGACCAGUCACAGAUCCAGGAGUUAAGAGGCCUUCAAUAUGAUUGAUCAGAACAGAGAUGGUUUCAUCGACAAGGAAGAUUUGCAUGAUAUGCUCGCUUCUCUAGGGAGAAUCCCACUGAUGCCCUGAUGGCCUCUCUCGAUGCUAUGAUGAAUGAGGCCCCAGGACCCAUCAGCUUCACCAUGUUCCUCACCAUGUUUGGUGAGAAGUUAAAUGGCGCAGAUCCUGCAGAUGCCAUCAGAGAUGCUUUUGCUUGCUUUGAUGAAGAAGCAACAGGCACAUCCAGGAAGAUUACCCGAGAGAGCUGCGGACAGCCAUGGGGGACCGGCUCUCAGAUGAGGAAGUGGAUGAACUGUUCGGAGAAGCACCUGUCGACAAAAGGGGGAUUUCAGCUACAUCGAGUUCACGCACAUCCUUAAGCAUGAAGCGAAAGACAAAGAUGAAUGAGAGAACUUUAGCUAAAACCUUCCAGUUACGGUGUCUUACUCUCUCUUUUAUUUUUCAGACACUUCUCUUGUCCUUAUAGAACCUGUUGCAUGCAACUUAGUUUCACAGCUUUGCUUUUUUUUUUCUCUUUUGGUGUAUUUAUUCUAGACUUUUCUGCUACCUAGCACUUGUAUAAUCAGGCUGGAAAUGGGGAUGAGGUUGUAAAUUGUAUUGAAAAAGAGAUCGCGAAUAAAAAUCAACAAAUGUGAAAGCCCAG